rnacentral:rRNA from 1 species
CAGCAGCUCGAGUGGUGGUCGUUUUUAUUGGGCCUAAAGCAUCCGUAGCCGGCGCUGUAAGUUUUCGGUUAAAUCUGUACGCUCAACGUACAGGCUGCCGGGAAUACUGCAGCGCUAGGGAGUGGGAGAGGUAGACGGUACUCGGUAGGAAGGGGUAAAAUCCUUUGAUCUAUUGAUGACCACCUGUGGCGAAGGCGGUCUACCAGAACACGUCCGACGGUGAGGGAUGAAAGCUGGGGGAGCAAACCGGAUUAGAUACCCGAGUAGUCC